rnacentral:rRNA from 1 species
AGCGUACCAUGCAAGUCGAACGAUGAUGCCCAGCUUGCUGGGCGGAUUAGUGGCGAACGGGUGAGUAAUACGUGAGUAACCUGCCCUUGACUCUGGGAUAAGCCUGGGAAACUGGGUCUAAUACUGGAUACUACCUCUUACCGCAUGGUGGGUGGUGGAAAGGGUUUUACUGGUUUUGGAUGGGCUCACGGCCUAUCAGCUUGUUGGUGGGGUAAUGGCUCACCAAGGCGACGACGGGUAGCCGGCCUGAGAGGGUGACCGGCCACACUGGGACUGAGACACGGCCCAGACUCCUACGGGAGGCAGCAGUGGGGAAUAUUGCACAAUGGGCGGAAGCCUGAUGCAGCGACGCCGCGUGAGGGAUGACGGCCUUCGGGUUGUAAACCUCUUUCAGUAGGGAAGAAGCGAGAGUGACGGUACCUGCAGAAGAAGCGCCGGCUAACUACGUGCCAGCAGCCGCGGUAAUACGUAGGGCGCAAGCGUUGUCCGGAAUUAUUGGGCGUAAAGAGCUCGUAGGCGGUUUGUCGCGUCUGCUGUGAAAGCCCGGGGCUCAACCCCGGGUCUGCAGUGGGUACGGGCAGACUAGAGUGCAGUAGGGGAGACUGGAAUUCCUGGUGUAGCGGUGAAAUGCGCAGAUAUCAGGAGGAACACCGAUGGCGAAGGCAGGUCUCUGGGCUGUUACUGACGCUGAGGAGCGAAAGCAUGGGGAGCGAACAGGAUUAGAUACCCUGGUAGUCCAUGCCGUAAACGUUGGGCACUAGGUGUGGGGGACAUUCCACGUUUUCCGCGCCGUAGCUAACGCAUUAAGUGCCCCGCCUGGGGAGUACGGCCGCAAGGCUAAAACUCAAAGGAAUUGACGGGGGCCCGCACAAGCGGCGGAGCAUGCGGAUUAAUUCGAUGCAACGCGAAGAACCUUACCAAGGCUUGACAUUCACCGGACCGCCCCAGAGAUGGGGUUUCCCUUCGGGGCUGGUGGACAGGUGGUGCAUGGUUGUCGUCAGCUCGUGUCGUGAGAUGUUGGGUUAAGUCCCGCAACGAGCGCAACCCUCGUUCUAUGUUGCCAGCACGUGAUGGUGGGGACUCAUAGGAGACUGCCGGGGUCAACUCGGAGGAAGGUGGGGAUGACGUCAAAUCAUCAUGCCCCUUAUGUCUUGGGCUUC